AGAGGGGGCAAGCGUUGCUCGGAAUUACUGGGCGUAAAGGGCGCGUAGGCGGGAUGGCAAGUCGGUCGUGAAAUCCCUCGGCUCAACCGAGGAACGUCGAUCGAUACUGCUGUUCUUGAGGAUUGCAGAGGAGACUGGAAUUCCCGGUGUAGCGGUGAAAUGUGUAGAGAUCGGGAGGAACACCGGUGGCGAAGGCGGGUCUCUGGGCAAUUCCUGACGCUGAGGCGCGAAAGCAUGGGGAGCAAACGGGAUUAGAUACCCCGGUAGUCCACGCUGUAAACGAUGAGCACUAGGUGUGGGGGGUUCAGUCCCUUCCGUGCCGCAGCUAACGCAUUAAGUGCUCCGCCUGGGGAGUACGGCCGCAAGGUG
rnacentral:rRNA from 1 species